AUUGAACGCUGGCGGCAGGCCUAACGCAUGCAAGUCGAGCGGAUGAAGGGAGCUUGCUCCUGGAUUCAGCGGCGGACGGGUGAGUAAUGCCUAGGAAUCUGCCUGGUAGUGGGGGAUAACGUCCGGAAACGGGCGCUAAUACCGCAUACGUCCUGAGGGAGAAAGUGGGGGAUCUUCGGACCUCACGCUAUCAGAUGAGCCUAGGUCGGAUUAGCUAGUUGGUGGGGUAAAGGCCUACCAAGGCGACGAUCCGUAACUGGUCUGAGAGGAUGAUCAGUCACACUGGAACUGAGACACGGUCCAGACUCCUACGGGAGGCAGCAGUGGGGAAUAUUGGACAAUGGGCGAAAGCCUGAUCCAGCCAUGCCGCGUGUGUGAAGAAGGUCUUCGGAUUGUAAAGCACUUUAAGUUGGGGGGAAGGGCAGUAAGUUAAUACCUUGCUGUUUUGACGUUACCAACAGAAUAAGCACCGGCUAACUUCGUG
rnacentral:rRNA from 1 species